CCUAGCAAUAGUUGGCAGCAACGUUUCUCUAUAGAAAAGGUCACUGAAACAGAUUGGGGUCAGCCUUAAUACUGUUUCCCUACAGAGAUGAGAACACUGCGUGGAGGCCAGAACGCUGCCCCGCGGGUCACCAGGUUUUCACGUGGCCCGAACUGGCCCAGCAGGAAGCCAGCUGACUCAGGAAGUCGUGGGAAAUGCAGUCUACAGGAGCCAGUCCUGCUUUGACACAGAGCAGGGGGAGUAGGCUCUAUAUCCAGCAGGGAGCAGACUCUGCUCCAUGUUGCCUUCACCCCAGAUCCUGGCUCUCCUCGUUGUGGUCCAGAGAAGAGAGAACAAUGAUGAACAUCUGUUAGCUCUUAGAGCUCUGGCUCUGAAGUGACACAUAUCACUUCCACUCGCAUUUUAUUGUCCCAAACAAAUCACGUGGUCAAGCCUGAUGUCAACAAGGCAAGGACAUUUAAUCUCAUCCAAGGGAGAAGCAGUGAAUACUCUUAAACAACAGUACAGUCUACCACAGCAAGAUACUACAGAAACUGGAUUCAUUAGAAAUGCUAAAAGCUCACCUGACAAUCUCAAGGAUUCUAAUUAAAUGAAUCCCCAAGCUUGAAGUAAAAAUGAGGAAGUUUAUUUCAAAGAUGAAUCACUAGGCACUAAGCUUAUUCUUAUCAUAAAUAUAAAGUCAGAUAAGAAGCACCCAUCUUAGAACAAACAUUAAACUCUCUAUAUUAUGUUACUAUCACCAUGUGAUGUGUUAAGUAUUCAUGUUUUAUUGCCCAACUGAUUCUUACCCUGUGAUAAGAGCAAGUCUCUAGGAGAUAAACCUGACCUUUGCUCGGUAUCCAAUUGAGUGCACAGGGCACGUGCUCCUGUGGUGCACCCACUUGGAUAAUUUCUCAUGAAUAUACAUGCCCAGGCCUAGUAUUUUCAAUAAAAACCAGUACAGAACUAUAGUCUUCUCCGUCAGUGUCCCAUUUACAAGGUGUUCAAGUAUAUUCAUAGACGUGCCAGGAAAACCCAUCCCAAGGACUGCUCCAAAGUCUAGCUGCACUAGUUACCAUGCUGUGGUAUCCAAAUAAAGAAAUAGGGCUUGGAAAUUCAAAUACCUGAAAAGGUCAGGCGAUAACUUUAGUGAUAAAAAGGAUGACAAAGAGCACUUGACCUUCAAACUCAUUGUCAGCAGGCUAGGGGGAAGGGAGGAGACUGACAAAGGGAAGAAUCUGAGCUUCUAGAAAAAGCAGGUGCUACUCAGUUCCAACCAGUGGUUGCUAAGUAGGAAAAAAAAAAAACCACACCUUUUUUUUUCUUAAGUUGCAAAUUAAAUUUGUGUGAAACCUGCUGAUUUUAAAUCUUGUCACUGGGCUUCCCUGGUGGCGCAGUGGUUGAGAAUCUGCCUGCCAGUGCAGGGGACACGGGUUUGAGCCCUGGUCUGGGAGGAUCCCACAUGCCGAGGAGCAACUGGGCCCGUGUGUCACAAUUACUGAGCCUGCGCCUGGGGCCUGUGAGCCACAACUAUUGAGCCUGCGCCUCUGGAGCCUGUGCUCUGCAACGAGAGAGGCCGCGAUAGUGAAAGGCCCGCGCACCGCGAUGAAGAGUGGGCCCCGCUUGCCGCAACUAGAGAAAGCCCUCACACAGAAACGAAGACCCAA